rnacentral:lncRNA from 1 species
AACUGCACAAAGUAAUAGCUAGACGCCAAACACCAUAUAUCUCUAAAAGUAAAAGCUAUCAUAGAGCGGUAUCUAACGAGGAAAGUACUUACUUAAUAGAGAGCAAGAAGAGCCUGAAUAAAAGUAUCUAUGAAAACAAACUUAUAAGACACACAAAAGAAUCCAAAAGACGGAUCUAGCUAAUCAUAGUUCACAAAUAGAGAAAAUGUCUAAACUAAGACAAACCACAAACUAUAUCAUAUUUAUCUAGAUAUGGUUCUCUGGUUGCGUAGUCGUAAUAAGAAGUAGCAAACUAGGGCUCUCCAAAUCUUCUAGGUGGUGUCUCCUUGCUAGUGGUCCGAGAUAUCUACUCGACCUUUGCUUGAGGAUGCAAUAACCAAGAGACCUGAAUGCAACUCCUACAAAGCUUAGGAAAUCUACCUGGCGUAAGGAUGGUAACGGCCACUGCCACUAUACCCUCCCCUACUUCCAUAUAAACCUCCUGCUCCACCAUAACCAGCACCAGGGCCAGAUUCAUAACCAGCACCAGGGCCAGAUCCACCAUAACCCCCAUAACCUCCUCCACGGCCAUAUGCUCCUAGUCCGCUGCUACCAUAUCCCCCACCAUAACCACCAGCGUACGAGCCAAAACGACUAGAAUAACCGAGUGAAGGGUCUCCACGGUAACCACCAAAUUCACUACUGCCAAAGUCUCCAUAUCUACCACCAAAUUCACCACCACCAUAUCCAUAGUCACCAAACCUAGAUCCAAAUGACCUAUAAGAAGCAGGGCCAAAACCUCUACUAUCAAAACCGUUAUAUGAAUUGGCAAAUCCUCCAUAACUAUCGCCAUAUCCACGCCCCCUAGAGUUACUACCAUAUGCAGGAGCAAAAGCUGGGUUUGAGGGUUUCUUUGGUUCUGCCUUCUUGAUCUCAACCUACAACAAAGAAGCAAGUUAACCUAGAAGUUCCACCUGCAUACUGAGCACUAAGUGAUCAAUACUACAAUUGAGAAACCUACAAAGUACAAACUUAUACUCCUUGCAUUAGACUAGCAGCAGUUCCUUAAGGCAGCUAGGUAUAUGUUAAAGGGAGAGAAAAAGGUUGGGAGAUGGUAUGAAAGUGCAAUCUUGAUGAUCUACUUUGUACGCACAACAUCCAUGUCUCAGAAUAUUUGAGAUCAUGAAGAAAUAUCCUACAACACUUACCUGAGUACCCAUCAUGUCAAUCCUAUUCCCCUCGGCCAGCAAAUUAUCAACUACUUGUUCAUUGUCACAACAACAACAACAACAACAAACCCAGUGUAUUCCCACUUUGUGGGGUCUGGGGGGGGUAAGAUGUACGCAGUCCAUACCUCUACCUCUGAUGAAGUAGAAAGGCUGUUUCCGAAAGACCCCCGGCUCAAGUUACGAGAUAUCAAACAAACACAUAGUACAGCACAGAAGCAGAUGACAUAACAUAGAUACUGCAGCCAUAAGGAAUAUAAAACAGAGUAAAGCAGGGAUGCAGGAAUAUAAAGCAGAGGAAAGCACACAGAUUCGUAACAAACAUAGAACACGGAACACGGAACAGAACAUUGAAUACGGAAUCAUACCAGGAAUACACCCCCACCAAUUACCUCCCUACAUUAGCGACCCGAACAGGCCCUAAUCCUCUGCCGUAAUUCGCGUCUUCCAGACCUUCCUAUCUAGGGUCAUGUCCUCGGUAAGCUGUAACUGUUCCAUGUCCCGCCUAAUCACCUCACCCCAGUACUUCUUCGGUCUACCCCUACCCCGUCUAAAACCAUCCAACGCUAGCCUCUCACACCUACGGACCGGGGCAUCCAUGCCCCUCCUCUUCACGUGUCCGAACCAUCUCAAUCGUGCUUCCCGCAUCUUACACUCCACUGAAGUCACACCAACCUUCUCCCGGAUAGUCUCAUUCCGAACUCUAUCCCCUCGAGUCAGUCCACACAUCCAGCGCAACAUCCGCAUUUCUGCCACCUUCAUUCUUUGGGUGUGGGAGUUCUUAACUGGCCAACACUCCGCUCCAUACAGCAAGGCCGGACGGACUACCACCCUAUAGAAUUUACCUUUAAGCUUGGGCGGCACCUUCUUAUCACACAGCACCCCCGAUGCAAGUUUCCACUUCAUCCAUCCCGCCCCGAUACGGUGCGAGACAUCCUCGUCAAUCUCACCGUUACUCUGGAUCACGGACCCGAGGUACUUGAACUUAUCCCUUUUCUUUACCUCCUGCGCUUCUAGCCUCACCACUACCUCAUUCUCUCGCCUUACGUCAUUAAACUUACAUUCCACAUACUCUGUCUUGGUUCUGCUCACCCUGAACCCUUUAGACUCCAGAGUUUGCCUCCACAGCUCUAAUUUGUCGUUCACACCCCCUCGCGUCUCAUCUAUCAGGACUACAUCGUCUGCAAAAAGCAUACACCACGGCACCUCCCCUUGGAUACGCCGCGUUAACACAUCCAUUACUAGCGCAAACAAAAAGGGACUAAGAGUAGAUCCCUGAUGCAAUCCUGUCAGGACAGUGAAAUGCUCUGAGUCUCCUCCCGCCGUCCUCACCUGGGUUUUCGCUCCCUCAUACAUAUCCUUAAUUACUCUGCUAUAUGCCUGCGGUACUCCACUCACCUCCAAGCAUCUCCAAAGCACCUCCCUGGGGACUUUGUCGUACGCCUUUUCUAGGUCGAUGAACACCAUGUGCAAAUCCUUCUUCCUUUCCCUAUAUUGCUCCACCAACCGCCGUACCAGGUGAAUUGCCUCCGUCGUCGAGCGGCCGGGCAUAAAUCCGAACUGAUUUUCCGAGAUAGACACUAUCCGUCUCAGCCUCACCUCGACCACUCUCUCCCAGAUCUUCAUAGAGUGACUCAGUAACUUAAUCCCCCUAUAGUUAUUGCAACACUGAAUGUCCCCCUUAUUCUUAUAGAGGGGGAUCAUGGUACUCCACCUCCACGCCUCGGGCAUCUUUGCUGUCCUGAAAAUUUCAUUGAACAAUGCAGUCAACCACCUUACACCAGCCUCUCCAACGAACUUCCAAAACUCCACCGGUAUCUCAUCCGGCCCCGUCGCCCUACCCCUUCGCAUCCUGCGGACUGCCUGUCUAACCUCGUCUACCUUAAAACGUCUACAAUAGCUAAAAUCCCGACACUCCCCUGAGUGCUCCAGUUCCCCUAACACAAUAGCUCUGUCCCCCUCGUCAUUCAAGAGCCUAUGAAAGUACGACUGCCAUCUCUUCUUUAUGUGGCCGUCCUCCACCAACACUCUACCGUCCUCCCCCUUAAUGCACCGCACCUGAUCGAGGUCACGACCCUUCCUCUCCCUAGCCUUAGCGAGUCGGAACAACUUUUUCUCCCCUCCUUUCCCCUGUAACCCUGCAUACAAGCUCUCAAAAGCAGCCGUCUUAGCUGCCGUGACCGCUGACUUCGCCUCCUUCCUUGCUAGCUUGUACUCUUUCCUGUUUACCCGCUUCUCCUCUUCGUCCUUACUUUCCACCAACUUAGCAUACGACUCUUUCUUGGUCUCCACUUUCUUCCCCACCUCUUCAUUCCACCACCAAUCCCCCCGAUGAUGUCCGGCCCGGCCCCUAGAAACACCCAACACCUCCCUUGCAUUUUCCCUGAUGCACGCUGCCGCCCUGUCCCACAUAUUAUCCACGUCCCCCCUACACUCCCACACCCCCAUUCCCGCCAACCUCUCCCCUAUCUCCCACGCAUUCACUGGCGUCAAACCGCCCCACUUAAUUCUCGGUCUACACUCCUUACUCCUCCUCUUUUUAUUCUUCUUCAUACCCAAAUCCAUAACCAAGAGCCUAUGUUGGGUCGAAAGGUUCUCACUCGGGAUGACUUUACAAUCUUUACACAGCGCCCUAUCCCCUUUCCUAAGCAACAAGAAGUCAAUCUGGGUCCUGGCUACCGCGCUCCGAAAAGUGAUCAGGUGGUCGUCCUUCUUCGGGAAGCCCGAGUUCACCACCACCAGCCCAAACGCCCUCGCAAACUCCAAUAGGGUCGCCCCCUCUUACAAAAUUAGUGCACCAUAUAAAAAAAAAAAAUGAACGGUGCACAAAAAAAAAAGCAUAAAUAACAUAAAUAUCAACCCUUUUGGAAGUAAUUACACUCUCUCCCACUUUUUUAAUUACUUUACUCUAUUUCCCUAUUAAUAUACAUAACAUAGCCGAUAUAUACGUAGCAUUUUGUGUAUAUGUUGAAAUUUUUAUAAUAUGUUUAGAGAGUUGAAUUUUUUAUAAUAUUGAAAACAUAAAUUGUGUAUUUGUGUAAUUUUUUAAAAAAAGUACACCAUAUAAAAAAGAAUGAAUGGUGCACAAAAAAAUACACCAUAUAGAAAAAAAUGAGUGAUGCACAAAAAAAAUGCACCAUAUAAAAAAAAUGAAUAGUGCAUAAAAAAAGUGCACCAUCUGAUUUUAACUUCCGUUAGCCAAACCAUUAAAAAAAGAAAGGACGGUGCACAAAAAAGGUGCACCUAGCUACUUUUGUUACUCUCCAAUUUAAUGGUAUAUUUUCAUCACUUUUUUAAAUUUGGGGCAUAUUUUGGUCGCGCAUUCGUUUCUACGAGGCAGAAAAAUCUGACAUUGUCAUGUUUUUCCAGUCUUAUUCUGCUCUCGAACAUUUUCAUUUGAAUAACUAGAGUAUAAAGGCAGACUUGCUUCAUUACUUCAUUUGUGAUGCAUUUUUUCAUAGAUGUAACAACAUUUGUGAUCGUUCAAUCUCAAAGUUUUGUUGCGUCAAGAAUCUUAUAUCAAUUAUUGUUCUCUAGCUAGCACAUGGCGCUUGCAUGAACCUUCUUUUUCUAUAUUGUUUACUAUAAAUUCUUUCAUCUCGUUUCCCCCCUUUUGAAUUUAUGUUCCAGUUAAAAUUAAAAUUAUGACAUUUUAAAAUAAUAAAAUAUAGAUUGACCUCAUUGGUUUUUGAAAAUAUAUUGCAAGUCCGACAAAAUGGUGCGUCAAAACAGUUAAAUAUUUCAUUUUAAUUACUAGGAAUGUUUUUAUAUUUUGAAGACAGUUUUAUUCAUUUUAAUUUGAACAUAUAUUCACCUUUUCUUAAUUCAUGUUUAGGCAUGUUAGGAACUAAAAAUGGGAUCAAAACUAUUCUUUAAAGUUCAAAAUCAGAGCUCGAAUUUAAUGAUGACCUUUCUUUAGGGGCAGCCAGCCUUCCACCUUGCGACGGAUAUAACACAAAACGAACAGAAACAGUAGUAGCUAAUAACGGCAAAUUAGUAGCAAGUUCCAGCAAGGGGUAACGCCUUCCACCUUGAGAACACUCAAAAAAAGUCAUCAAAUUUUUGCGUUUCUUAACCAAUGAUUGAAAUAGAUUAUUAUUUAGAUUAUUGAAAAUAAAUUAAGGUACCGGCAAAACUGAAUCUUGUUAUAAGUAUUCUUGGGCCAAAAUGUUCUACAUGUAUCACACCAACUAAUUAACUUACAUUUCCAACAGACACCAUAUUAACUGAGAUGAUAAAAGACCAACUAAAACAGCUAAGAUGGCUAAUUAGCGCCAGAUUUGUUUGCAAAACACAGCCAAUGAUGAACACAGUUCAAAUACAUGAAUACAUGCUUGCAUUUUAAAAGAGAAUAAUACAUAGAAGAUGUUACAAAGCUGUCACCGGUACAUCACUUUAACACAAAUUAAGAUAUGAAUUACAGCCAUUUACACAAGUAUGUGCUGACUAAAGACACUUACCUAAGAUUUUAAACAAAUUAGAUCUUGAUUACUAAAACAAAACAAUUAAAGGUAGCGGAGAAACAUAUGAAGAGUGGGGAGAAUAAAAACAAAGUGAGUGAUGUAGGACUGCUCCAGCACAAACCAGCAAGCUGUAGUGCAUGCAAACAAACCCCCCAACCCCUUCUUGUCUUCUCUCUUUUGAAGUGAUAAGAUGCAAGCACCCUCAACUAUGAAUGGUCAAAGAAACAAGGUAUGCAGAUCCUUUCAAAACCAAAACAAAGGACCAGACAGAUUAACAAUCUACAUCAGAUUCUUUCACGGAUUUAGCACAGCACACAUUUCUGAAAAACUGCUACAAAACUAUCUAAAUCCAUUUAUAUUAGUAAUAUAUAUGAAUAGAACGAUAGAUCCAUCCAUCUAUCCUAUCCGAUUUCGCUUUUUCUAUCUAAAAAAGAAUCAAUUUCAUUCAACCUUUGAUUCAAAAGUCGCGAAGGAAAAUAACUUAAAAUAUCCACAACUAUUAACAAUCUGCUGUUUAACCCUUAAAAUGCAAAAUGGCUACAUAAGAUUCUUUCAAGGAUCUAGCGCAGCACAUAUUUCUGAAAACUUAAGUCGCGAAGGAAAAUAACUUAAAAUAUCCAUAACUAUGAUUGGGUGUGACCCAAGCUAAGCCCACUAAACUGCACAAAGUAAUAGCUAGACGCCAAACACCAUAUAUCUCUAAAAGUAAAAGCUAUCAUAGAGCGGUAUCUAACGAGGAAAGUACUUACUUAAUAGAGAGCAAGAAGAGCCUGAAUAAAAGUAUCUAUGAAAACAAACUUAUAAGACACACAAAAGAAUCCAAAAGACGGAUCUAGCUAAUCAUAGUUCACAAAUAGAGAAAAUGUCUAAACUAAGACAAACCACAAACUAUAUCAUAUUUAUCUAGAUAUGGUUCUCUGGUUGCGUAGUCGUAAUAAGAAGUAGCAAACUAGGGCUCUCCAAAUCUUCUAGGUGGUGUCUCCUUGCUAGUGGUCCGAGAUAUCUACUCGACCUUUGCUUGAGGAUGCAAUAACCAAGAGACCUGAAUGCAACUCCUACAAAGCUUAGGAAAUCUACCUGGCGUAAGGAUGGUAACGGCCACUGCCACUAUACCCUCCCCUACUUCCAUAUAAACCUCCUGCUCCACCAUAACCAGCACCAGGGCCAGAUUCAUAACCAGCACCAGGGCCAGAUCCACCAUAACCCCCAUAACCUCCUCCACGGCCAUAUGCUCCUAGUCCGCUGCUACCAUAUCCCCCACCAUAACCACCAGCGUACGAGCCAAAACGACUAGAAUAACCGAGUGAAGGGUCUCCACGGUAACCACCAAAUUCACUACUGCCAAAGUCUCCAUAUCUACCACCAAAUUCACCACCACCAUAUCCAUAGUCACCAAACCUAGAUCCAAAUGACCUAUAAGAAGCAGGGCCAAAACCUCUACUAUCAAAACCGUUAUAUGAAUUGGCAAAUCCUCCAUAACUAUCGCCAUAUCCACGCCCCCUAGAGUUACUACCAUAUGCAGGAGCAAAAGCUGGGUUUGAGGGUUUCUUUGGUUCUGCCUUCUUGAUCUCAACCUACAACAAAGAAGCAAGUUAACCUAGAAGUUCCACCUGCAUACUGAGCACUAAGUGAUCAAUACUACAAUUGAGAAACCUACAAAGUACAAACUUAUACUCCUUGCAUUAGAC